AUACCUAGUAGAAUCUGAGGAUCCUUGAUUAUUUUUGUUGUGAGUGCUUUUUUAUACUCGUAUAUGAAUACUAUUAUAUAUAAGCACAGAAUUGUAGUGCACUUACUGAAAUAGUGUGAGAAUGAUGUCCCCCAUAGAAGAGACAUCAGCAGUGCUCCAUUCAAUUUUCUAUUUGUCUAUCACUUCAAUUUUUUAAAUUUUUUUUAUUAGUUCAAGUUAGGGAACAAGUUGUUUCAAUGUAAGUCCCUUCUCCCUCUCCCUCCCCUCACCCCCAUCCCUCCUCCUCCAUCCCCAACCUUAGCCCCCACCCCAUCCACCCACCACUCCCCAGACAGGGUGGGGCCCUCAACGGGGGCUCUGCAGUUUUGAUUAUGGGACUUUUAUAGAGUUCCACAUAGGAGUCUAAGAGUUUUUCUAUAAGGCUGUGCCCAUGGCCUUCUGUAAAUAUUCAUGUGGGAUAGAUGACUUCCAAAAUGAUGCACAGUCCUCUGGAGUUUUAAUAAAAGCAGUUAGUAUGAGACUUAUAACUAAUGGGUAUUCUGUGAUGUGUUUUUAGAGACUGGUCAAGACCUCAGGUUGUCUCAAAGGGAGCUUCAAGAACACAUUUGUCCAUAUUUGUGUUAGUUACAGGAUAACCCUGACUCAGGGCACAGGGCAUCUGAUCUUUCUCUCCAUAGGCAAUGCUGAUGCUGAUGCUAUUCUGAUUUUCUUAUCUGCAUAUAUUUCUUAUAGGUGCUUGGGUAAGAAAUCAUGGCAUCCUUAGUAAGUCUAUUAAAGAUGAGUUCAUACAAUGUAUAUAAUAAGGCCUGGACAUUAAUAUGGAAUCUAUAAAAAUUGAUGGACUGCUUGUGCGAGGAUUCACUUCCUUUACUUUUGAUAUGUCAGCUUAGUACUAAGCAUAACACUUCUUUUGCGAUUGCAGACCAAGAAAGGAUGGACACUCCCAAACUGCAGACAAAGUGGACGUCAUUGAAGCUGAAGUAUCUAGAGCAGAGUGACCCUGAGCAUAUCACGAAUGAAGGCUUGCUGAUAAACUAUAUCAAUAAUGAACUGAAGCUAACACACUGCAAAUCAUAUGAUCUUGGAUAUCCAAUCAGUGAAGAUGCCUACCAUUUUGUCCUCACACUUUUUUGAUAUUUCUAGUAAGAUCUGAGGCAGUGUACAGUUUUGAGGGGAACCUCAGUUAUUUGUUAAGACUUCAUUUUUAUCUGUGUAUAUAUAGCAUGUAUUCUUCCUUUUCUCCUGCUUGUCCACAUACACUGAGUUAAAACAUAAAUAGGUCACUGCAAACCUGAGUAAAUCUUUUAUUCUCUAUCCUUGUUACUAUAACUAAUGUUUCCAUCACUCACAUACAUAAUGGCAGAAGUGUCGUCAAAAGUGAUCUAGGUCAUUUUUGUUGUGUCCACCAUGGUGAUAUGGAAGGAUCCUAUAUUAUAAGAUCUCUUUUUCUAAGUGUAACUCUUGUCACUGAACUUCUGUAAUACUCUAAGGUUCAAGAAACACCAGGGUGACCUUGAGAUUGGCAUAUAUACAUAAGAUUUCAAUGAUUCCUCUUUCUGAGGUACACCAAAACAGCACAGUGAAAUGGAUAAUACUAGCAGUGAGACCAAAGACCAUUGCUGGUAUCCAGGUUAAUGAUGUUCAGGAUUUCUGUCAUGGCACUGAACCUCUGAUCUUUAGUAAGUACCAAUGGUGUCCCUCGUCCUUCUUGUCACUGUGCUUUUGUUAACAUUAAUAAGGUAAUAAUUGAUGGGAUAAUAAAUCCUUAGCAAUUCUCAUUACUAAGAAUGAAUUCUUUUUAUAUGGUACAGAAAAUUCAUGUUAAAAGCCUGUGCGGUCUAAAGGGUUGGUUUUGUCCUGAGUGGUCAUUGUUGAAGUGGCAGCACCUUAGUAAACACUGUGUGUUCAGGAAGGCAUUCUGAUUAUAUAACCUGUCAACCUUAACAAAAGCACAAAUUUCCAGAUAGAAGUGAAGUGUUUCCUAACAGUGAUGGUAGACAGUAGAGUAAAAAGCACAUUGCAUCCUCAAA